CCGUAAAUUAUGUAAUGAACUGCGAGAACCAGAUUUUAUACCUGAUGAAAGCCAAUGCGAAGGAUUCAGAAUUUACACAGACAUUUCAGAUGUUGAUGGUAUAAACUUUAUUAACCGUCUCAAACGUACCAAGACCGCUUCAUGGAUUUCGUGUUGUUCCUGGUUGUUUCUAUUUAUCAUCCAAGUAAUCAAGACAGUAAUAAAAUCACGAUCUGGAAACAGACCAACAAAUAGACAGCAACGUGUGCCAGAGGGGCAGAAGUUCGAAAUAAUUAGUUAAAAUUGAGGCGUACUGUACGUUAAAAAGCUAAUGCCACAUUUUUUUUGGUCAAAUAAUUUGAACAUUUAGGCAGUUGGAUAUGUAGCUGGUGGUAGAAAAGCCAAUUCGUUUGGAUUUAAUGAUGAUUAGUGAUGGCGAGUGGUGGCGCCAGUUGGGGACCCGUCAGACAGGACAGGCCCCUUUCGUCCGGUCGUCGAAUA